rnacentral:rRNA from 1 species
AUUGAACGCUGGCGGCAUGCCUUACACAUGCAAGUCGAACGGCAGCGCGGGAGCAAUCCUGGCGGCGAGUGGCGAACGGGUGAGUAAUAUAUCGGAACGUGCCCAGUAGUGGGGGAUAGCCCGGCGAAAGCCGGAUUAAUACCGCAUGAGACCUGAGGGUGAAAGCGGGGGAUCGCAAGACCUCGCGCUACUGGAGCGGCCGAUAUCAGAUUAGCUAGUUGGUGGGGUAAAGGCCUACCAAGGCAACGAUCUGUAGUUGGUCUGAGAGGACGACCAGCCACACUGGGACUGAGACACGGCCCAGACUCCUACGGGAGGCAGCAGUGGGGAAUUUUGGACAAUGGGCGCAAGCCUGAUCCAGCAAUGCCGCGUGCAGGAAGAAGGCCUUC